GACGAACGCUGGCGGCGUGCUUAACACAUGCAAGUCGAACGAAAAGAGGGAAAGAGCUUGCUCUUUCCGGAAUUGAGUGGCAAACGGGUGAGUAACACGUAAACAACCUGCCUUCAGGAUGGGGACAACAGACGGAAACGACUGCUAAUACCGAAUAAGUUCCAAGGGCCGCAUGGCCCAUGGAAGAAAAGGUGGCCUCUACCUGUAAGCUAUCGCCUGAAGAGGGGUUUGCGUCUGAUUAGCUGGUUGGAGGGGUAACGGCCCACCAAGGCGACGAUCAGUAGCCGGUCUGAGAGGAUGAACGGCCACACUGGAACUGAGACACGGUCCAGACUCCUACGGGAGGCAGCAGUGGGGAAUCUUCCGCAAUGGGCGAAAGCCUGACGGAGCAACGCCGCGUGAGCGAUGACGGCCUUCGGGUUGUAAAACUCUGUGAUCCGGGACGAAAAGGCAGAGUGCGAAGAACAAACUGCAUUGACGGUACCGGAAAAGCAAGCCACGGCUAACUACGUG
rnacentral:rRNA from 1 species